CGGGAGCCAGUGCGGGUUCCCGGGAGCAGCGUCUGCCGGGCCGCGAGUGUGGCGGACGGCAGCAGCAUCAGCAACACUAACAGCAUCAGCAGCAACAGCAGCAGCAGAAAAAGAGCGUUAAUCUGCCCCAUCUCGGGGCCCGAGGAUCGGAGCGGAGGAGACAUUCACUGCAAGCACGUAGGGGAAUAAGGGUCUCGCUUUAUUGAAUCAUCAAAUCCCAGGAACGAAGCUCUUAAUUAAUUAUGGGUGCUAAAAAUUCAGGCCAGCUGCUACUUUUUACUCGGCUCUGACAGAGAAAGACAAAGUCUGCGGCGAGCUCCUCCGAGGCGCUCCGCAUAAAUCAGCGCUCCCGGCCCGCGGGGACAGAUGGCGCCUCG
ensembl:lncRNA